GUCGUGAAAUGGCGCCCGGGGGCCCAAGCUCGGGCCCCGGGCCCCUCGAGUUCCUAGUGUUUUGUUUUUGUGUUUUGGUUUUGGUUUUUUUUUCUGCUUUUGUUUUAAUAAAGCUCACGGAUUUGAGUGGAAACAGAUUUCUCACAAACUUGCUUCUCCGGCUGGAUUUCACAGCUCGGCACACACACACACACACACACACACACACACUCACACACACACUCACACACACACACUGGGGCUGUCACAGGCUUGACAGCAUUCCAGGGAAAACACUAACGGGGAAACUCUGCGAGGGGAAUUAAAGGAGCAGGCAGCGGUGUCCUCCCCGGCAGAGCACGUGCAUGUGCAUGGAUGGCCUCCAGCGUGCGCCCACCUCUGCAGGCCGCCGCGGGAAGGAAGGAAGGGAGGGAAAACAGAUCCGUCCCCUUCGGCUGACGGCAUGAAGGAGCCCUCUUCCUCUCAGGCCUGACCAGUUGAACACCGCACCUCCUGGUGUAUAAAUAUUUGCCUCUGGCUGAAGUUCAAGCCCUCUGUGGCUGCCAGACACAAGAGAAAACCAACAUCCAAGGGAAAGUGUUCACUGUGGUGCUGGCCAAAGGAACGCCAGCCAGCAAAGGAUCACCACAUGUGAUUGGCCAGGCCCACCUAUGGCAGUGUCAGGAGGCGCCAGGCCACCGACCACUGGGGGUGUCCCCACCCUUUCAGUAAUGGCUGUGUUCCUUAACACGCACCCUUGCUUGUUAACCCAAGACCAGAAGACUUCCUGGUGGUUUCCCACGUGUUCCUCCAGAACGAACGGGCCCAAAUGAUCAUAAGCCACGCUCUUAACUCUUACCACUCCAGAAAAACAAGUGGAUGGAUGCUCCUUUGAGGGACCCAAGUAAGGUAGCAUCACCCUUAAAGCUAUGAGGAAUGCUCAGCAUCUCAGCCGACCUUGGUAACCUUCAAAGCUAAAAGCCGUUCUCUACUACAUCCCUCCCUGAUCUCUGAUGAUCUAGGGGAAGGGCAGAGGGAUAACCAUGGGCCCACAGAAGAUAGAGGAGCUUUGGUGAGGUGCUGUACACCAGCUCACACUGAAGGAAGAGAUGAAUGGUGCCUGGGAAGAUCUGAUUUACUGUCUGAGGACUAAGCCUCCUAUAGAUCUUCAUUAAGAAUGCUAACUUUCCAAGGUUGAUUUGCAAGAGUGGCUGUUGCAUGGGACAAAAGGCAAAAAAAAAAUUAAAGUUUGCAAAUGUCAAGGCCUUACGGGGCCAAUGUAGA